AUUGAACGCUGGCGGCAUGCCUUACACAUGCAAGUCGAACGGUAACAGGUCUUCGGAUGCUGACGAGUGGCGAACGGGUGAGUAAUACAUCGGAACGUGCCCGAUCGUGGGGGAUAACGGAGCGAAAGCUUUGCUAAUACCGCAUACGAUCUACGGAUGAAAGCAGGGGACGGCAAGGCCAUGCGCGGGCGGAGCGGCCGGUGGCAGAGUAGGAAGUUGGUGGGGUAAAGGCAUACCAAGCCGACGAGUUGUAGCUGGUCUGAGAGGACGAGCGGCCACCUUGGGGCUGGGCCACGGCCAAGACUCCUACGGGAGGCAGCAGUGGGGAAUUUUGGACAAUGGGCGAAAGCCUGAUCCAGCCAUGCCGCGUGUAGGAUGAAGGCCUUCGGGUUGUAAACUGCUUUUGUACGGAACGAAAAGACUCUUUCUAAUAAAGAGGGUCCAUGACGGUACCGUAAGAAUAAGCACCGGCUAACUACGUG
rnacentral:rRNA from 1 species